UUUCUUUGACAAUUUGGUUGAAAGAAACCCAAAAUUCUGAUAUAGAAACUUUUUGAAAAUGGGUCAAAUUUGACCCGAGGACAACAGGAGGGUUAAUAAAAUUCCCCCGGUCCCUUUAGAGCACAUGUCACUCAAAGCCUGUGGGCCAAUUGAGGUUCACAAUAGACUUUGGCCCACUUAAUUUUUGUAGCUUUUUUCAAUGUUUUUUGGCCCGUUUUACGACGUUUUUUUCCCCAAUGUCUUUGUUGUUUUUUCUUUGAUGGCUAAGUUACUUAAGAUUAUAUGAGACAUGCAAUAAUACAAUAAAAGAUGCUUGACUUUUACCAUGAAAUAAUAGCAUGUGAAUAACCUAAACAUGUCUGGCCCUGGAUGUGAUUCUUAUUUUCCAGCGUGGCCCUUUGUGGAAUUGAGUUUGACACUCCUGCUUUAGGGACUCCAUAGCUUUUUUGAUUUUGAGGACAUAAAAAGAUAAAAAUAUGGGCCUUUAAUACCUUCCAUAUCGGACAAACCCUGAGUUUCCUUCAUGUCAUUUCUCUGGUCUGUAAUGCACGGAUCAUUCUAUUGCACUCCUCAACGAGACUGUGAGAAACAAACUGCCGAUGAUAUAUAAUAGUGGUUCUUCCUUGGUGUUGCAUGAUGCAAUAUGUUGAUAUACUUCUUUAUAUCUCUAUACUCUGCUGCCUGUUUUCUAAGUCAACGUGUUGAGACCCGAUGAGACAUUCAGGUUCACGGUGUAAUCGUUCUUCUUUGUAUGCACGACCGAACGUAUGAAUGUGCUUUCUAUACAAUAUCGUUGAACUGUUGUUUACACGGAUCUUGUGCUUUACAGGUGUUCUUACAUUUCUAUCAGGUGUUUUAUGUACGAUGCAACAAUAAAGUUUGGAAUGCAACACUGACA